rnacentral:lncRNA from 1 species
AACGGCCCCCAUAAUUCAAUCACCUCCUACCAGGUUCCUCCCGCAACACACGGGAAUUGUGGAAGUUACAAUUAAAGAUGAGAUUUGGGUGGGGACACAGCCAAACCGUAUCAUCCUUCUGGUUUGAUACAGUGUGAGCUAAUGUUGCAUGAAUUCCUCCCUUCAUCACCGUGAGACCACCUCUCACGGAUGAAAUAUAAUCAGGAGAGAACCUAGAGGGGGUGAGGCCAUCAGGUGAAUACCAUUCCUUGGGAUCCACCGGCCUCCCCAGAGGGGUCCUUGGCUUUGUCAGAAGCCUCACCCCUUUCUUUUAACUUCCUGAGCUGUGCUGUCCAAUAUGGUGGCCACUGGCCCCAUGUGGUUGUCGAGCACUUGAAAUGUGGUCAGUCUAAACUGGCAUGUGGUGUACAUGUGAAAUACAUAUAAAAUUCUGAAGACUUGAUGUGAAAAAAAAUGAAGAAUAUCUCAUUAAUAAUUCUCUGUACUGAUUGCACAUUGAAAUAAUAUUGUGGAUAUAUUGGGUCAAAUAAACAAUAUUAUUAAAAUUAAUCUCACCUGCUUCUUUUUACCUUUGAUCCUACCCCAAGGCCUGCCAGAAUGAAAAUAAAGAACAAAGACAACAAAGAAAACAGCCGACAGGAACAGGAUCUUGGGAGCCAAAUAUCAGGGAUCCAAGGAAGCCCGGAAGUGACCUUGAGACCACUCUCAGGAGGCCCUGUCAGAAGAGCCCCUCCCUCUCUGCAUAAAGGUAGCGCUGGUUUUAUUGUUGUUGUUACUGUUAUAUGGCUUCCCCGAAAACACCCAGACAGGUUUAAGAGCACAGCUCACCCAAAUUCCCCCAUGCAAGCCAUCUGUACCUAAUCAAGCCUCUCUGUGUUUGCUUUGAGGGAUACCUGGUUGCUUUUCCUGAAAUCCCUUCUCCAGGAAACUGGUCCCAGCUCAAAUGCCAGCUCAUUCCAGGAAGACUAAUACAGCAAGUUAUUUUUUCUAUAGAUAUUUACCUAGUGCCACAAAGCCACGUGUCAGACCUCAUCUAGGGACCAGGGCAUAGCAGUGAACAGCACUUCAUGAAGCUCCAUCCCAUUCUGCCUUUCUGGGUAUAAAUGAAGGAGUCCUCAGAGGGUGGGGUGGUGCCUGCAAGGAGGCUGCUCAGGGAGCAUGUGUUUUGACCAGUGAACAACCGGCUGGACCAAGGGGUCAGGCUCUAGUGGUGGCGUUGGACCCUGACUCAGCACUGUGUCAAAGCAAUGGCGAGAGGUCCCUGCCUGCGUGUUCAUUGGCGGCAGGGUCUGCAUGCCUCCGCCUGCUCUCAGCAAGGAGCCCACUUUCCUCUCUGGGCUCAGCUCCAGUUCUCGGGCUUUCUCCCUCCCCGUCUGCUUCUUAUCUCUGUCUCCAGUGUUUAGAAAAUGUCAUCUUCAGCAGUCAGGGCCGUGAACAGCCGUGGGAGCAAGGAGAGGCUUGCAGCAAGGGAACAGGGGUCCUACCAGGGCCUGGCUUAGAGCACAAAGCUAGUCAGAGCUGGAGGGACCCUUGGAGGCCAGCCACUCCUGCCAGACACCUGCCUGUUCCCUCCCCGACCCCCACCUCACCUUAGAGAAUUGGAGAUUUGUAGUUUUGACAGGUGGGGGAGAGAAUGAGACUCUUUCUCCAUCCCCAAACUUCCUCCCACCAGCACUAACUCAAGGGAUAUCCACUCUGUUUUACUUCAUCAGAACAAGAAGACCGAUUGGAUCUGCUUAGGAAGACAAACCUCCCAGGGGCACGCUAUUCAGUCCACUCCUGCUGGGGACAGAAGACCUUUGGGCAGCCCUGGCUCUGAGACUUGCCCUUUCUUGGGGCAGCACAGGUUUUAAAGACUAGGUGCCCUGGGGUGACAGACAGAGACCCCCAACCUGCUUUCCCUAACAUUCCAGGAGGACCCAAAUCACUGGCUCUUCCAGGCUCUUGGCCACUUUCCAGUUCCCAUGAGGAUUAAAAGGAAGAAGUGGACUUUAACUCCAGCGAUGGGACUGUGGAUGGAUUGAGGGUGGGAGUGCCCUGAGACCCAAGGAGUCCGCCAGCCGGUUAGUCAUAGAAAAACACCUCCCCCUUGGCUUAGGUGUGUACCUAGUGGAGGCAGAGCCGAGAGACAGAUGUUUUCUCCAAAUCUUUCCAGCCUUAUGACUCUUAUAAUUAGACCUGGAAAAACAUCUUUUCCUUUCUUCAUUUUUUUUUAAAAGACCAGAUUGUCUUAAACACAGAGUGAUCAUUUGGGCCACUGGAAAGCAGAAAAAAGAGAGAGAUGACCGUUUGGAAAUAAUGCUUUCUUUCCACGUUCUGCUCCCCUACCCGCUGCCUACAUGCCCUUCUCCCACUCUCCCCAACUCCCCCCGAAAAUGCCCUGCUGCUGUGGCUCUGACUCCAGAGGAGAUGGAAGAUGACACCCCUGGGCUUCAAAGGCAUUUCCAACAAGGGCUCAGCUUCUUGCAAAGCCUCUGAGAAAACCUUGGCCAACCCCCUGGCUCCCCGCUUCUAGCCUCGAAACUGAGGCUGCUCUGCCUGUCAGGAAGCCUAUAAAUCCCCAAGUCGGCAAGAAGCUGCACUCUGGAGCUCUCUCCAUUGCUCAGAUACCUGGCUGCAGGCCCUGGGCCGACCUCAGCCAGUCUAGAAGCUGGUGUAAAUAAGCACAUUUAUCUCAGACAGAACUCAUUUUCUGAGGAAGUGGAUUCCCCUGGGGAUACCAGCAAUCAAAAAGUCCGUUGUUCCCUAUGGGGCCACAGCUCUUCCCCAUUUGACAGCUGAUAUUUAAUUGAUGGCUGCUUUUCUCCAUAAGAAUAUUACACGGUGUUCUUAGAGUUCCAGCAAAAUGAUAACUCCUUUGUCCCCAAGGCAGAGGAGCAGUGGCUGUCCUCAUAUCUAUCUAACCUGGGGGAAAUACAUAUUAGGGUAACUGCCCAUAUAUCAUUGAUCAAAAAUUCCAAUAUGCUGCUGCCCUUCUUGAAACUAGAACCAAGCACAGUUUGCAGAUAGGAGUUCCUGGGAGUUGAGCAAUCUGGGAGAGUUGUAUUACUCAGAAAUGUUUCAAGUCUGGGAGAAAAAAAAGGAAUCUUAGUCUUAGAGAGAAAGAUCUGGAAAAACAUCAGCCUGGAAGCCUCAAAGAUGUGAGAUGUCAGCAUUAGAAGGGCACAAGUCAGCAGCCAGGGUGGAAUUCAGAGCCUCACCAAGGCCAUGCAGCAAGGUGUGGGGCAGAUAGAGCCAGGUAGCUCCUCGGACGCUGAGCAGAGUGGCAGGCAGAAGGGAGCAGGAACAUCCUAGGAAGGCCCAGGCUGCUCUGGAGAGCUCUGACGGAGAGGGGCUGUCUGACAGCCUGGCUGCCCAGAGGCCUAUGUUUCAGCCCAUUCCACUCCUCAGUGGCUAUCUGACCUCAGGCGAGUCCCUUGGUCUCUGUGCCUGUUUCCUUACCCAUGGCAGGAGAUGGAGAUGCUCAAGUAAAUGACAGAAACAAGAAGGUCAUGAACAAUACACAAGGCAGGAGCCAACCGAGGAGGGCUGGGACCACCAGCCAAGUCUCACCAGCUGAAUUCCAUCUCGGGCCCUGGAGGCGGCAGCAUUUACAACCACAAAGCAGCCUAAAUUUGGCCAGCCAGAGGCCUUCUGCCCCUGGGGUGGGUCUCUGGAGCUCUUGCUGGACUGAUGUUGCCCUAAGAGAUCCUGGCUGGGCCUCUCCCCCUCACCCCACUCCUUCCUACUCGUGUGUUUGGGAUUAACAUUCAUCCCUUGAACUUUUUCAUUUUUCUACUGAGAUGGAAACUUGGCCAGUGACCAGGCCUGGUUGUGCUCGCAGUACGGCUGGGCUCAGGCCAAACUCACGGUAAUUGUAAUCAUAUGCGAGGUGCUGGCUCACUGGGCGCCAGGGCUGGGGGAGGUGCAGGGCUGCCAGGCAGUGAGAAGGUGAGGGAAGGGCGCUGGGCUGGGCGCCAGGACCUGAGCCAGUGUGCAGACGGUAUGGCCUUGGACUCCUGCCCUCACCUCUGUGAGCCGUGAUUUCCUUGUUAAUAAAAUAAAGGGAUUGGCUUAUAGGAAA